rnacentral:lncRNA from 1 species
ACUCAUAAGCACAAGAACGAAGAGGAAACUGAAACUGAAAGCUUAAUUUACUACGAUUGCUCAGUCGCUGCGAUCAGCUGAUGGGGAACAAGAUGAUCAAGUCCAGUUCUGGUAUAUGGUCAGCCAUGGCGUCGUGGUUCGCUUGCUUCGGCUCUACUAAUAAGGCGGCUGAUUCCGGCCGGCCCGGGAGUGCUGGGUACGACCCGGCGGCCGGGAUGGUUGCAGCUGCUAAGCAUUUCUCCAGCGCGCGCAAUGUAAAGUUUGGUUGACAAGUGUGUCAAGUGAAAAUUUGUACAUAGUAUAGUUAUGGUUUUUGUAGUCUUGUGUGUUGUAGGAGUAUAGCACACUUGUGUAAUCAAAAGAAAUGUACUGGGAUUAUUUUUUUCUGCACAAGAAUCAAGUUCAACUAUUGUUUCUUGUUUUUCCCUUCCUACUAUAAUCUAAAGCGUACAUAUGUAUCUUAUAGUUUCCUGCUAUAUAUGUAUAUCAAAUUAAAGUGGAAUAGAAUGUAUUGGUUGAUCUGAUGAACUCCUUUCUUAAAGAAAAAAACCAUACAACGGACUAGCUUUCCUAGGAAUAUGGUAAAUUUCUUUAUGCAAGGUUCAGC